AAUAAGCUCCCACACUCAAUCUCAUGCAUGAUUGACAUGUGACAGACCUUAUACCUGUAACCCUUUUGAGAUAUUAUACUUUGAUGCCAGUGUGCAUGAAGCAUUAGAGAUCAGCUGCAACUUACUUCAAUUAGAAUCUCAGAGUCUCUAUAUCAAUCUACAUUCUGGCAAAGACUGUAUGCAUAAGUCUGUGAGUGGUGCAAUAACUAUGACAACAAAUAUUGGUUACAAUGUAUUGGUGAGUUGCAACGAGCAGCUAGUUGCUGACUUUGCUUCAGAUCCGGAAGGAAACGCUGGAGUUAUGUUCCAAAACCAUCUGAUAUCAGUCCAAACAAAUCAGAAAAUCAAUCAGCUUGACAAGAUAAACACGGAUAAGGCCAGGAUGCUAGUGGUAGAAUUGCAGGCAAAAGUCAAAAGUUUUCCGGGAACUUAUGAUGAAUUCAUUAAAGUACUUCGGGAAAGGAAUGAGCGACAUGAUGACCUCCUCUUCUCAGUGCUUACAGAUAAGUACAAGGAGUUAGAAGCUGUAACAGCAGAAACUGAAGUUCCUAAAAACCCAGUAGAACCACAGAGGAUUGUUGCAACCAGUAAGUACAGCUAUAUAAUUAUAAUGAAAGCACCACGGGUGCUGAUGCCUGCGGAGGUGCCAAAGCUACAUAACAUAAAGCUAGCUUACAUUACACAUUGAUCAUGAUAAUUUUGCUGCAUGCAGAC